UACGGUAGGGGGCUAGCGUUGUCCGGAAUCAUUGGGCGUAAAGCGCGUGUAGGCGGCCCGGUAAGUCCGCCGUGAAAGUCCAGGGCUCAACCCUGGAAUGCCGGUGGAAACUGCCGGGCUGGAGUCCGGAAGAGGCGAGUGGAAUUCCUGGUGUAGCGGUGAAAUGCGCAGAUAUCAGGAGGAACACCAAUGGCGAAGGCAGCUCGCUGGGACGGUACUGACGCUGAGACGCGAAAGCGUGGGGAGCAAACAGG
rnacentral:rRNA from 1 species